UGGGUGAUCUGCCCUGCACUUUGGGAUAAGCCUGGGAAACUGGGUCUAAUACCGAAUAUGACCAUGCGCCUCCUGGUGUGUGGUGGAAAGCUUUUGCGGUGUGGGAUGGGCCCGCGGCCUAUCAGCUUGUUGGUGGGGUAAUGGCCUACCAAGGCGACGACGGGUAGCCGGCCUGAGAGGGUGACCGGCCACACUGGGACUGAGAUACGGCCCAGACUCCUACGGGAGGCAGCAGUGGGGAAUAUUGCACAAUGGGCGCAAGCCUGAUGCAGCGACGCCGCGUGAGGGAUGACGGCCUUCGGGUUGUAAACCUCUUUCAGCACAGACGAAGCGCAAGUGACGGUAUGUGCAGAAGAAGGACCGGCCAACUACGUGCCAGCAGCCGCGGUAAUACGUAGGGUCCGAGCGUUGUCCGGAAUUACUGGGCGUAAAGAGCUCGUAGGUGGUUUGUCGCGUUGUUCGUGAAAACUCACAGCUUAACUGUGGGCGUGCGGGCGAUACGGGCAGACUUGAGUACUGCAGGGGAGACUGGAAUUCCUGGUGUAGCGGUGGAAUGCGCAGAUAUCAGGAGGAACACCGGUGGCGAAGGCGGGUCUCUGGGCAGUAACUGACGCUGAGGAGCGAAAGCGUGGGGAGCGAACAGGAUUAGAUACCCUGGUAGUCCACGCCGUAAACGGUGGGUACUAGGUGUGGGUUUCCUUCCUUGGGAUCCGUGCCGUAGCUAACGCAUUAAGUACCCCGCCUGGGGAGUACGGCCGCAAGGCUAAAACUCAAAGAAAUUGACGGGGGCCCGCACAAGCGGC
rnacentral:rRNA from 1 species